UAUUAUUAUUAUUAUUAUUAUUAUUAGUAUUAUUAAUGAUUCCUAUCAGAAUUAGAACUCCUUUUAUCAUCUUUAUUCUUUAUCUUAGUAGGAGAUAUACAUAGAAAAUAUUUUUUUUUUAUAUUUAUCAAAAGCUCUUUAGAAACUAGUAUAAUUAUGGGAUCUAUUUUCAAACCCUAAAGGAGACGGACACACUAAUUAAUUAGGGUUUUAGAGAGCAGAGAGGGCCAGAAACGUGUAGAGUCAGAUUUUCGCAGGAAAUCAAGUUCUGGCAGUUUCGGGAGAACGGCCAUAACUUCCUCCACAUAACUCCGAUUCAAGCGAAACAGGUGGCCACGGAAAGCUCUCUCGAAGAGGAAGAAGUCGUAUUUCUGGGAAAAAUACGAUUUGAGGACGUUUGAGGCUUCAAACGAAGGCUUGAAGCUGACUGGUCUGUUCAGCUGCGAUUUUGACGAUUUCUUCGGGUGCGGCGCUAUUAAGACCUUCUUUCCGGUUUUGUUUUGUUUCGACAUUAAGUUUUAGAGUCGAGGUGGCCAUGGAAGUCGAGAAUGACUAGAGAUUUAGUAUUUCCAUAGAAAUUUAAGUUGAAACAUGUUACUUUUUAGUUUAUCAUUUUAUUUCAUGUUACUACUUUAGUUUUGACAAGUUGAUUUUAAAUUGGUUUAAACUUUUAUAAUUCAAGAAAUUUUAUUUUUUAUAUAUUAGUUUUCAAAGAUUUUAUAUUGAAAAGUUUAUGAAAAUUGGGGUGUUACAUAGUGGUAUCAGAGCGGGUCUACGUUCCUGUAGACUCGUGCUUUAAAAAAAAUUGUUUUGUUUUUAAAAAGGUUUAAGUAAGCUUAAAGGGUUAAAUAAGCCUAGUCAUUCGAAACUCAUGUGCUGCAUCGACUCCAAGGUAUGUGUUUUAAUUGUUUAAGUAUAUGGCCGUUAUGAUGUUUUACAUGACUUUUUUUUUUAUGAUGCUUUUAUGUUCUAGUACUAUUAUGUUUAGCUUCGUUAGAAAUAGUUGAAAUUGUGAAAUCGUUAGAUGGCACGGACACGUCAAACUCCCACUAGAGCUCAAGUCACCCUACAAGCACGAAUUGAGAAAUUGCGCGAAGAAUAUGAAAGAUUAAGUGAACGUUGUGAAUUCUUGCGUGUACAAUGCGAGAGAUACGAAAGGAUUAGGAGGCUGCAAUCGGUGUACGACUGCUAUACAUGGAGUAGCGACUACGGGUUCGUGGAACACGUGCGAAGGAUGAAGUUACCUCACAAUAGAACUAGAUUAUAUGGCUCAAGAAUCGUGACUAGAAUUUCGAGGACGAAAUUAUUUUAAGUGGGGUAGGUUGUAACACCCCGAUAAUUUAGAUUUAUUUUAUAAGUUUAAUUAAUAGUAUUUUCUUGUAUAGCUUAUUUUUUUAAAUAAUUACAUGAUACAUAUAGAUAUGCACCGUUAAUUUUAUCUAGACUAUUAUUAUUAUUAUUAUUAUUAUUAUUAUUAGUAGUAGUAUUAUUAAUGAUUCCUAUUAGAAUUAGAACUCCUUUUAUCAUCUUUAUUCUUUAUCUUAGUAGGAGAUAUACAUAGAAAAUAUUUUUUUUUUAUAUUUAUCAAAAGCUCUUUAGAAACUAGUAUAAUUAUGGGAUCUAUUUUCAAACCCUAAAGGAGACGGACACACUAAUUAAUUAGGGUUUUAGAGAGCAGGGCCAGAAACGUGUAGAGUCAGAUUUUCGCAGGAAAUCAAGUUCUGGCAGUUUCGGGAGAACGGCCAUAACUUCCUCCACAUAACUCCGAUUCAAGCGAAACAGGUGGCCACGGAAAGCUCUCUCGAAGAGGAAGAAGUCGUAUUUCUGGGCAAAAUACGAUUUGAGGACGUUUGAGGCUUCAAACGAAGGCUUGAAGCUGACUGGUCUGUUCAGCUGCGAUUUUGACGAUUUCUUCGGGUGCGGCGCUAUUAAGACUUUCUUUCCGGUUUUGUUUUGUUUCGACAUUAAGUUUUAGAGUCGAGGUGGCCAUGGAAGUCGAGAAUGACUAGAGAUUUAGUAUUUCCAUAGAAAUUUAAGUUGAAACAUGUUACUUUUUAGUUUAUCAUUUUAUUUCAUGUUACUACUUUAGUUUUGACAAGUUGAUUUUAAAUUGGUUUAAACUUUUAUAAUUCAAGAA